GGAAGUUUUGUUCUUUUCCUGUUGUGGUAAAUGUUGUUGCUGCUCAUUGUUGAGUCCACGCUGCUUUUAAGGGCUGUAACACUCACCGCGAAGGUCUGCAGCUUCAGUCCUGAAGCCAUGGAGAUCACAAACCCACCGGGAAGAAGGAACAAACUCCGGAUACACCAUCUUUAAGAAAUGUAACACUCAGCGUGAGGGUCCACAGCUUCAUUCUUGAAGUUAGCAAGACCAAGAACCCACCAAUUUCGGACACACUAUGGAGCGGGGAAGAAGGUUUUGGUUCAGACAUCCUCCACCUUUCUCUGUCCACCACGGCUGGGACAGAGCCCUCCCAUGUGCUCUGCAGAUGCCCUUCGGAAAAGCUGCCUCUUCUAUGCGGUGCUUCUGGGCAGCUGGGGAACAGCAUACAUCUGUUGGCUCCUUGAAGUUAGUAAAGCCAUGUGACUGAUUCUGCCCAGUGAGAGGUAAGCAGAAGUGUUGGAAUUUACUUCUGGGUGGGU
rnacentral:lncRNA from 1 species